AGCUUUUUAAAUAUUGUGGCGGCCUUUCGCAGCGGAGCACUAACGGUCGCGGUUCGAAGUAGUCUGACUUGAAGAACUAUCAAUAUUAACAAGAUGGUAAUGUUAGCUGUUUUUGCCUUUGAUGAUUUUUCUGUCGACAUUGGUGAGCUCUCCUGGAUUGAGGGAGAAUUUGACGAGCAGAAUGAAGCACAAGAAUAUGUCGUGCGAUGGAGGGAACGAAAUGGAAAAGUUAAACUUUGUUCGGCCAAAAUAAUGGCAACCGGAGAGGAUAGGAGAGAACUGGUCGAAGUGAGGAAGAAAGCGGAGUUAGGCCUUCUGGAUGUGGCAGUCACACCUACAUCUAAAUGUGGAAAAGGCCAAAGGCGAAAAAUUCCAAAUUCAAAGAACGUGCCAUCUGAGGAUGGAAAUGAUGAGCAUGUGGCCGAGGUAAUGAGCCGAAGACCAAGUCAAAACGCAAGCAGGCAACAACUGCACAAAGUGCCAGGAAAAGUAUUUUGCAGAAGUACAAAAAUGCACAAAUCAUGCAACUGAGACCCCAUCUGGCUCAACUGAGACUCCUUGUGGC
ensembl:lncRNA